rnacentral:lncRNA from 1 species
CCUUCGUUACCACCAUAGACCCCACAAAAAAUCACAAACAUGGGCUGUACCGCAACCUUUUCAGGGCCGGAUCAACAGAAUUUGGGUCACAAACUCAAACAUUCACAAAUGGGCAAAGAGAAACACCAAGUAACAAGAAGAAGCACAAAUGAAUUGCAAACAGAUGAUUCAUCACUUCUCAUCCAAUACAACAAUAAAUUUGAAAUAAGAAUUUGAACAACCUCCUGGCAACAAUAAAAUAAAUGGAAUCAUUUCACAUGGCAACACAUUAGAGAUGAGCAAUUUGAACAACCUGUAAACAUAAUAACUGGAUAGGCAGCUCAAAUCCAAUAAGUAAUGGAAGUCUCAAGAUCCUUUCUUUAUAAAAAUAUCAAGUUGGAAUACAUACUUCAAGAAUUUUAAGCACAUUAAUCUUUCAAAGGGCAAUAAACCCAAGAUAGAAGGUUCCCCAAAAUUUCUCUUAACACUUGAAAUAUUAAAAUAAAGCUACACUAAUAGCCUCUCAGUUCUCAAGUAACUGUCUCAAAGACCUCAAACAGAAGUUGUUGCCUUCUUCCUUGGAGCUGCUUCAGUAUCUGGACAAACAACAGUAAAAAGUGUAUUAUUAUCUUAUACAAGUUAUGACCAGAUAUUCUUGAUCAUCAAAUUUCAUUGUCUAAACCAAAAUCUUAGUCAAACUAAAACAAGAAAGAUCACUCUGAAUUAUAGAUGUGCAUCUUUCACAAUCACUCAUAAUUUUCAUGCAAAAUAUUUUUUAAAAAUAGUUUUAUCUUGAAAAUUUAUUUUCUAGAACUAUUUACAGCAUUCGGUUGGGUACAAAGUCACCAACCAUACUCACUCAUACAAGGUGGAAGAUAAAGUGUAACAAAAGUCUUAAAUACUCCCAUCGAUCCCAUUUGUUUGUGCUUCUUUCAUUUUUAGUUGGGAUCGAAGAAGACACCUUUCUGUCUUUAGUCAUAAUUUAACUUCAAACAUUUCAUUUUACCCUUAAAUAAUGAAUUUAUGGCCACACAAAUAUCAACCUCUUAUUUCGGACAAUAAGUUUCAAAAGUAUUUUUUCAUUCCUCAUGACCAGUCAAACACCUUUACAUAAAUUGAGACAACGGGAGUAGUUGUGAUUAGGAUCCCCUCCAGUAUCUGUUCCUCCUGCUACUCUAAUAACCUUGUUGACUUUUGACACGAGUCACUUGUUAAAUCUCACUGGCCAAAUCAGCUACCUCUCUUAAUCAAUAUACACACACAAAGUCACUCCUCCUACUAAAGAAAGUACCAAACCUAGCACUACUAUUUCCAUCAUUGCAAACUCUAUAUACCACAUGCCAUGGUUUAUUUCAGAACACAUCCCCUAACCCAGAUUUAUUAGAAACAAGUUCCUCUUUAAUAUGAACAAAACCAUAGUGGUUCCAUCCUAGAAUGUGCACAAAUAAUCUAUUCUACUCCACCUCCAUAUUCUUAGUGUUGGGAAAAUAAAUAUUCCCACCCAGGAUAUUAUCCACACAAAAUAGCAAUAACAAGAGAGUAAAAAGGACACCAAAUAUUAUAACGGGGUGAAUAAAAUACUCAAUGGAGGAAUACAAUAAUAGUGACUAAAACUUGACAGUGUCAAAACACUACUACUAUUUAUAAACAAAACAACACACUUUUAUUUCUCAAAACUCACUACAAUAUUACUCCUACACUAUUAUCUCACAGACUAUAGAAUAUCUGUGGAUUACUCUCUUUCCUCUCUAUUGGUCUCUCAAUUUUGUAGUACCUAAAACUGAAAUAAAAAUCAUCUAUUUAUAGAUUAACAUCCAAAAUUUUUAUGUUGCGGCACCAAUUUCCAACUUGAUCAUGUUGCAACACUAACUUCCAAAUUCAUGUCACCACAUUACACAUGUUGAAACACUAAUUUUUCUUGUUAUUUUUUAAUUUAUUUUAAUUAUUUUGAUCCCACAAAUCUCUCCCUUAAUUUUAAUUCUUCUUCUUCAUUGUAAGACUUGAUGUCUAGUUGAUGAAUUUUUCACUUUAUUUGUAAAGCCAAAGAGAUCAGCAGGCAUAUCAUCUCCAUGCGGGCAAUAGGUGCAUAGACUUCUUCUUAGUCAAUGCCAUGUCUUUUCUUGUAGCCUUUAGCUAUGAGUCUUACCAUGUAUCUCUCUACUUUUCCAUGAGCAUUCUUCUUUGCCUUGUAUACUCAUAGAAUCCAAUUGCUUGAUGAUAUUUAGGAAGAGUUGUUAAAUCUCAAGUGUUUUUCUUUUUUAUCGACUGAAUUUCUUCCUCAAUGGCUUGUCUCCAUCUUUUGUCUAUAAUAGCUUUAUUAAAAUUCAUUGGUGCACUAUCAGCAUAGAGACAACACAAAAAAUCAAAAUUAGUAACUUCUUCUGUGUCAUCAUAGGGUUCUUGGAUGCUCUUCAUCCUCUGUAGCCUUUCACUUGAACUCUGAUCUUGAGAAAAAGAAAAUGCAACAUUUGCUGGUAGGGUUGCAUCCUGUGCAGGUCCCAUGGUAUCUAGCUCUUCUUCAUCUCCAAAGUAUGGAAGAAAAUCAUAUGUUCUUUCUUUCUGAGCCUCCUGGCCUUCCUAAUUUCAUGACGCUUCUUUAUCAAAUUCAACAUCACGACUUACCACCACUUUGUUGUCACUUGAAUUAUAUAGCUUGUAGACUUUUGAACUAGUGUCAUAGCCAAUAAACAUAUACCUGAUGCUUUGAUCAUCAAGUUUAGCUCUCCCUGUGGAAUAUAAGCAUAGUCUAUGCUUUCAAAAAUUCUCAAGUUCUUGAAACUUGGAGUUUUUCCGCUCUAUGCUUCUUGAGGUGUUUGAUCUUUCUCAUUUCUUUUUGGAUACUUGUUGCUUAAAUAAACUACACAUGAAAAAGCUUCGGUCCAAAAUUCUUUUGGUAUAUUUUUAGCUUUCAACAUACAUCUUGCCAUAUUAAGAAUUGUUCUAUCCUUUCUUUCUAUAACUCUAUUUUGUUGGGGCGAGUAAGGUACCGUUAGAGGGAGACGAAUUCUAUGAGACUAACAAAAGUCACUAAAUUCUUUUAAAGUGAAUUCGCCUCCUCUAUCGGACCUUAGGGCUUUUAUUUCAUAGCCACUCUCUUUUUCUACAAGUGCUCAGAAAUUUUUAAAGGCAACAAAAGCUUUUAAUUUUUGCUUCAAGAAAUAUACUCAAGUCUUUCUACUGAGAUCAUCAAUAAAGAGUAAGAAGUAUUUACUUUUACCAAAAGAAUGCGGAUCGAUUGGACCACACAAAUCGAUGUGAACAAGCUAAAGUGGAUUAAUUGCUCUUGACGUGGUUUCCUUCGAAAACCCCUCCUUUCAUGUUUUCCAAGAAGACAAGCUUCCCAUAGUUGAUUGGGAUGAUUGAUUGAUGGAAUUCCAUCAACCAUGUUCUUGUCUCCCAUUGAUUUGAGAGCUUCAAAGUUCAAAUGUCCAAAUCGCAUAUGACAACACCAAGACUCAUCUUGCACAUUAGCCUUCAAACAUUUUUGCAUUAAUGGUCUUAAGAUUCAAAAGAAAUAAUCUAUUUUUUGCCAUAUGCACUUCGGGAAUUAAAUGAUUACUUGAAUCUCUAAGCCAAAGAUGUAUAUUUUUUAUAUGAAUAUCAUUCCUUUUUCAAAAAGUUGGCCAAAACUCAAAAUAUUAUUUUUUUAGUUUUGGCACAUAGUCUUAUUGAUCAAUUUUUUAUCACCAUUUUUACAGGAUAUCAAAAUCGUAUCUAUUCCUUCAAUUUGAAUCUCUAGGGUAUCUCCAAAAAACACAUUAUCUCUCGUCGUCUUCUUGAUCUCCAUAAACUUGUCUUCGUAUCCACACAUAUGAUUACUUUCCCCAUUAUCAAGAUACCAUGAACUAUAAUCAUCUGUAUCAUCUACUGUGAGAGCCAUUAACAAUGUUGACUCAUCUUCUUCUUUGUUGUAGUCAAUGUCACACCCCUUUUUUUUUUCACUUCAAAAAGAUUCAUUUUAAAUCUAAAAGAGUUUUAUUAUUAAGUGACAAAAGAUGAAAAUUUAUUUCAAAAAUGGAUUAUUUACAUUUAAACUCAGAGCCGCCACUUGGCAUAGACCGGUGUACCAAGUCACCUUUGGAAAAUCCUUUUCAAAAUGAUUAGACUCUUGAAACUGGUUUGCGAACAGAGAUUCUGGUUAAAGAAUUAUGUUGACCGAGGGGAAGGUGUUAGGAAACCCUCGAUCCCAUGGUUCGACCAUGGUCGCUUAGUAGAGUGAAUCAGCUAAUUUGGCACUACGAUGUAAAAACCACAUAAAAACAUGUAAAACAAUCAAACAAACAAACAAAACCAAACGAAUCCAAAAUAUAGUGUCCAAUCCGAGUUAUACAGUCCCAAAAUAGAAAAAUACAAAAAUGUAAAUCAUAUUCUAAACUAAUCCUAGACUAAGCUCUAAUGCCUCAUCCGAUGCCUCGGACUUUCAUCACGAACGUCCUCCAAGUGCAAGAUACUUCGGGGCAUUUCCCGUAUAAAUCAAUACAAAUACCUCGAGGCGUUCCCCGGCUAAAUGAAUACAGUAGAUCCAAAUGCGGUAAACAAAAACUUUCAACACAUAAUCCAAACAUUCCACAAUCCACAAGUUCUAAAUUUGCCUAUCUGAGCCUACUGUUUGCUUACCCAGCACGACCAAUCAUGGCACUAUUACAAUCAGUGACAUCAAUGAAUCAAAAUGACAAUAUUCAUUUUUGUCAACUUUCAAUUCCCGCCCCACUUUUAUCGAUUUAAUUCUCAAAUAAGAUAUCAUUUUAUUGCACAACACAUAAAUAAUAAAUCAACACCAAGUAAUUAUUCACCAUCAACAAGGAACAAACAACACUCAAACAUUCAAACUAUAACAUCGAAUAUCAUAAAGAGUGAAAUAAAAAGAGAGGGAGAAGAGAAUCAGACCUCACUUAUCAAUUUAAAUGUAGUGUUAUUCAAUUAAACAAGACAGAGUCCAGUCGAGAACCUCAAAUUGAACUUCAACCGUGACCCACCAACUCGAAUCCAAACCGAAUGGAACUCAACUAACGACUGUGAAUACCCGAGAUCAACAACCAGACAGAUUUCAAACCCAAAAAUAAAGACCUCAAUAUGAAAACCAAGACCCGAACCCAAAAUGAUGACUAAUGAAAAUCAAAAUCCAAUUUUGAUUUUAAAUCACCAAAAUAGAUGAACCCAAGCUGCAAAAAUCUGAUAAAAAACUAAGUACCCACACGACUUGAACUUCGGUGAGCUAACAGUGCCCAAAAUAGAUGGAAGUAGGACUAAUUCCAGAGAGUUUGAAUAUUUUUGAAACGAGGUAGCUCGAAAACUUUCAAAAACAGACUGUUCUGGUGAUAUUCUUGUUUCCCUAUUGGACUCAUCUAGAAAUGAACAGAGGACGAUGAGAUUCCGGCAAAAUAGUCACUGGAACAAUGACCAAACCCAUUGAAACCCAUUUUUGAGUAACCCAAAAUCAAUACAGUUUUCUUCUCCAUUUAAGAUCUCAACUUUGAAUCUCUCUCUCGCACGCGCGAAUCUCUCAGUGUGUGUAUCCCCUAUUGUGCAUGCGUUCAAUAGGUGUAUAUAGUAGCUCUAUGUGUAUCUCCUAUGUGGAGAAGAAAAGGAAAGUUGGGGUCUCUCUGUAUUUCUGUUUGUGUAUGUAAGGAUGAUGAUGAUCUCCUUCCGUUAAUAGUGGUGUGUUCAAAAGAAAAACAAGAGUUAGACCGUGUUCCAUGCUUUUUUCAUCAAUGGAGAAUAUCGAUUCAUGAUGUAGUGGGUAUUGUGUGUAGCGCGUGACUAUGAAAAUGAGGGUGGGUCAGUGAAUUGUCAGUCCCCCUGUGAGUGAGAAUUGUUUUCUUUUUUAAUUAUUUUGUGGGCCCUUAAAAGUGUCUAUCCAAAAAUGGAAGAAUUUUUUUUUGUCCCCUCUCUGUUAAAUAAUAAUUAAAAUAUAAAGGGAAGGGUGGCAUGUGGGGUAGGUGGUGAGGUGGGGUAUGUGAGGUGUUAAAAUUUAAUAGGGAGGGGUUGUUAGAAUAAGAUAAAAUUAGUUAGGGGUUGUUAUUUUUGUAUUUUUGUGGGAUAUAAUCACAUGGGUGAGGGCACGCAGUAAGACAGAGGUAAAAUGGUAAAAAUGUUUUUGGGCAGGGAAAAAAUAAGAUGUCUACAUCAUGCCCUCUUUGAAUGUAAACACGAGAUGUUUUCAGGUAAAGAAGUAGACAAUGAGACCAAAUUUCAACCUGGCCAUUAUUUAAGGAGAGAAACAUAAAGAAGAAGAGAAACUGGAUCUUAACUUUGGAGAUCCUACCUACCCAAGUUAUGAAGGAAUCAAUUGACACACAUCUCAAAGGGUUGGAAAGAGAAGGACUAUAUUGAGUUGGAGAGUCGAGUGAGGUUCCAUCGAGGUUUCGGUCCGCUGCUCUAUCAUUACAUCAAAACAAAAAUUACAAGUUAAAACAUAAAUGAAAUUACAAAAUACUAUCUAUGCAUCUUUUUUGGACUCUUGGCUUGAGUUUCAUCACCCUAUUCUUCAGGCAGACUCCUGACUUGCAAUUUCUUCAACUUGUUGCUUGACUUCCAAUUUCCUUACCCUGUUCUUCAGAUGGGCACCUGACUUGUAAUUUUUCAAUUUGUUAACUUUAAAGUUCUUCACCUUGUUGCUUAACUUUUAACUUCUUCACCUUGUUGUUUGACUUAGGCUCCAGAAAUCACAUCAAAACUAAAAAGAAAAUUACCCCAUACAAAUAAAUGCAUCUUUAAUGAGUUAAUUAGAAUGAUUUGACUAAAAGGUAUGUCUUAUAGGAGUCAAGGGGAAUGACUCGACUAAAAGAUAUGUCUUACACGAAUCACAGGGAAUGACUCGACUAAAAAGUACAUCUUCUAGGGGUCAAGGGGAAUGACUCGACUACAAGUUACGUCUUCUAGGGGUCAAGGGGAAUGACUUAACUAAAAGGUACGUCUUAUAGGAAUCAAGGGGGAUGACUCGACUAAAAGGUACGUCUUAUAGGAAUCAAAGUGGAUGACUCGACUAAAAGGUACAUCUUAUAGGAAUCAAGGGGAAAGACUGACUAAAAGGUACGUCUUCUAGGGGUUAAAGGGAAUGAUUCGACUAAAAGGUAUGUCUUAUAGGAAUCAAAGGGAAUGACUCGACUAAAAGGUACAUCUUGAUGGGGUCAAAGAGAAUGACUCAAAUAAAAAGUAUGUCUUAUAGUAAUCAAGGGAAAUGACUCGACUAAAAGUUACGUCUUAUAGGAAUCAAGGGAUAUGACUCGACUAAAAGGUACGUCUUAUAGGAAUCAAGGGGGAUGACUCGACUAAAAGGUGCGUCUUAUAGGAAUCAAGGGGGAUGACUCGAAUAAAAGGUACGUCUUAUAGGAAUCAAAGGGGAUAACUCGUCUAAAAGUUAUGUCUUAUAGGAAUCAAAGGGGAUGACUCGACUAAAAGGUACAUCUUCUAGGGGUCAAAGGGAAUGACUUGACUUAAAGGUAUGUCUUAUAGUAAUCAAGGGAAAUGACUCGACUAAAAGGUAAGUCUUUUAGGAUUUAAAGGUAAUGACUCGACUAAAAGGUACGUCUUAUAAGAAUCAAAUGGAAUGACUCGACUAAAAGGUACAUAUUAUAGGAAUCAAAGGGGAUGACUCGACUAAAAGGUACGUCUUAUAGGAAUCAAGGGGGAUGACUCGAUUAAAAGGUACGUCUUAUAGGAACCAAAGGGAAUGACUCGUCUAAAAGGUAUGUCUUAUAGGAAUAAAAGGGGAUGACUCGACUAAAAGGUAUGUCUUCUAGGGGUCAAAGGGAAUGAUUUGACUAAAAGGUAUGUCUUAUAGUCAUCAAAGAAAAUGACUCGACUAAAACGUAUAUCUUAUAGGAAUCAAAGGAGAAUGAAUCGACUAAAAGGUACAUUUUAUAGGAAUCAAGGGAGAUGACUUGACUAAAAGGUAUGUCUUACUAGGAAUCAAGGGAGAUGACUCAACUAAAAGGUACGUCUAAUAGGAAUCAAAGGGAAUGACUCGACUAAAAGGUACGUCUUCUAGGGGCCAAAGGGAGUGACUCGACUAAAAGGUGUGUCUUAUAGGAAUCAAAGGGAAUGACUCGACUAAAAGAUACAUCUUAUAGAAAUCAAAGGAGAUAACUCGAUCAAAAGGUACAUCUUAUAUGAAUCAAGGGGGAUGACUCGACUAAAAGAUACGUCUUAUAAAGAUCAAAGGGAAUGACUCGACUAAAAGGUACGUCUUCUAGGAAUCGAAGGGGAUGAAUCAACUAUAAGGUACAUCUUCUAAGGGUCAAGGGGAAUGACUCGACUAAAAGGUACGUUUUAUAGAAAUGAAGAGAGAUGACUCGACUAAAAGGUACGUCUUAUAGGAAUCAAGGGGGAUGACCCGACUAAAAGGUAUGUCUUAUAGGAAUCAAAGAGGACAACUCGUCUAAAAGUUAUGUCCUAUAGGAAUCAAAGGGGAUGACUUGACUAAAAGGUACAUCUUCUAGGGGUCAAAGGGAAUGACUUAACUUAAUGGUAUGUCUUAUAGUAAUCAAGGGAAAUGACUUGACUAAAUGGUACGUCUUAGAGGAAUCAAAGGGAAUGACUCGACUAAAAGGUACGUCUUAUAGGAAUCAAAUGGAAUGACUCGACUAAAAGGUACAUCUUAUAGGAAUCAAAGGGGAUGACUCGAGUAAAAGGUACGUCUUCUAGGGUUCAAGGUUAAUGACUCGACUAAAUGAUACGUCUUAUAGGAAUCAAAGGGAAUUAAUUGACUAAAAGGUACAUCUUCUAGGGGUCAAGGGAGAUGACUCGACUAAAAGGUACAUCUUAUAGGAAUUAAGGGAGAUAACUCAACUAAAAGGUACAUGUUAUAGGAAUCAAAGGAAAUGACUCGACUAAAAGGUAUGCCUUAUAGGAAUCAAAGGGAAUGACUCGACUAAAAGGUAGGACUUCUAGGGCUCAAGGGGAAUGACUUGACUAAAAGGUACCUCUUAUAGGAGUCAAAGGAACGAUUCGACUAAAAGGUACAUCUUAUAGGAAUCAAAUGGAAUAACUCGACUAAAAGGUAUGUUUUCUAGGGGUCAAGGGGAAUGACUCGACUAAAAGGUACCUCUUAUAGGAGUCAAAGGAAUGACUCAACUAAAAGGUAUGUCUUCUAGUAGUAAAGGUUUAAUUUAAGAAGUGUAUCAUCCAACAAAUGAAAAAUGAAAUCCCUAGACAAGAAGGUGUGUCUCCGAGGGAAAUAAGAUGAUGAAUUUUACCGUGAUUUGACUAUCAAACCUGUGCAACAACAUUGCUUUUUAUAUUUGUAAAAGUGAGGCAUUUCAACCCUUGAUAUUUAUGCUCUGAAGUCCUUACUUUGAAGGUAAUAUGUUUCCUAUUUCAUCAAAGAAAACUUGUGAUUUUAAAACAUGGUGGCUGGUUUGUGGCUUUAGCUUUCAUGGAAAUCGCUCCUACCCCUGUCACAUUUAAUCUUACUUUCAAUCAUUCAUGUGUCACUGACUUACUACAUCAUUGACUCGAACUCAGAUUAUUAAGAGUGACUUUAAAAUAGAUACAAUAUCUUUUCUUUGUCAUGCUUCUCAGAUAAACUCUUUGAACCUUAGUAUUUUCAUGAGUUCCCAGACUUACCGAUUGAUAAAAAAUUUGCAUGCCUUAUUUUGGCUCACAAUCAUGUCUCUUUCAUAUGUUGGCCUUUUGUCUUACUUUGCGCAAUUGAAGAAGCUGGUAGCUAAUUUUGAAGUCUUUUCUGACUUAUUUUGAUAGGACUUGACUCAAAGACAAGAGAAAAAAUGACAAUGAUUUUUAUUUGGACAACUGACUAAAGAAAAUAAAACAAAAAUAAAGAAAAUAAAGGAAAGACAAUGAAUAUCCACAUUUGAAACAAAGAAACAAAAAAUCAAUCUAAAAAUGACAGUAAACUCUAAUGAUUAUGCCAUGCAUUUUGAAUUAAGCAGCCUGAUCUUUUCAUCCAAACUUUCUACCAAUUGUUGUUGAGUUAAUUGCCUUGAAUCUGAGUUGCUUCCUUAGGUCAAUUGUAUUUAAGACCACAUUCGGCUAGUGGUACCUUGAAGGGUUUUCUCCCACAAGAUUCUCUCAUUUUCUUUUCCUCAGCUCACCAUUGUCUUAUGGUGUCUGUAAGGGUUUUCCACUAAUGAGACUCUCUUAUCUUCAUUUCCUUUAACUCAGAGUCGUCUUAUGGUGUCCGUGAGAGUCUUCACCAAUAAGACUCUAUCAUUUUUAUCUCUCUCAACUUACUAUCAUCUUACGGUGGUCGUAAGGGUUUUCACCAAUAAGAUUCUCUUAUUUUUAUUCCUCUCCUGAUUUUUUUUGUUGAGGAAGACAAGUAGUUCCUAAAUGCAUCAUCAUAUCCCUUGCAUGCUUAGCCUUAACAUCCUCAAAGAUAGAUCUGAAGAUGUUUCUUUGGUUGUAACUUGGAUUUUGGAUAGGGUUAGAAAGAAAGGAUGGCAUGGGGCCCAAACAACACUUGAAGUAGGGUAGGACUUACAACUUUUGGAAUCGACUCAAACAAUGAGGAUUAACACAUGCCCCAAUGUCUUUUAAUUGGGUGACUCUAAAUUGUUUAUUUGGUUGGACCGAGCUAGGAGUAGGGCAACCUACGUAUCUCACCCUCGAGAGAGGAGAAUCAGGUCAUGCGUAGUUCUGGUGGAUUGUUCUUUUGCUUGAUUCUGAUUUUUUCUUUUUUUUUGUUGACUUUUUAUUGACUUUUUUUUCUUUUUGGGACCUUCUGACUCUAUUUUUUUCUUGAUGCUCUUUUUUUUUCCUUCUUUUGGACAUAUUUUUUCUAUAAUUUCUUUUUGAAACUUUCUGACUCUAUUGUUUUGCUCGACACUUUUCUUUUGAGCUUUGCUGACUUUAUCUUGAUUCCAAAAGAGGGGUAUGAAAGAAAAUAGUACUAAAGCUCAAAUGGGGUAAACAAAAGAUGACACAAUGUUUGGAUAGCAUAAUGAAAUACCUUCGUCAUAUCAAUCCUUGAAAAUGCAAGAACAUAACAUGCAAUUUGAAAGUUGGAGAUGAAGAUCAUGUGCGACAUCUUUUAAAACAUUAACUUUGACUGAGUCUAUGCGUCACUACUUCUUCUGCGCUUUUCUAGCAUACAACUCCACUUUUGUUGUACAUUUCUUACAUUGAAUGACACAUGAUUUCGUGGAGCUGGUUUUCUUUCUGUUCCUCUUGAUUAGGAUCACACAUCCACUGAUUGACCUAAUUGAGGUAUGCCUUACAAUGGAUGACCAAGUUAUUCUGGUAAUUCUCAAAACAAUUGCCUUAAUUUUGAACGAAGGUUUCAAUAUGGUCACCAAAUGUCUUAAUACGCUACCUAUUUCUCACAUGCUUUUUCUAACUUUAGCCCUGUGAUUCAAAGUUCAUGCUCAAAUUGUAUUUUAAGAUCUAACGAAGAAUUCUGCCAACAUGUCAUAUCACUAAAGCCAACAUAAAAUGUACUAUGUAAAGAAAACAAACAAAGAACAUAUAUUUAAACACAAAGGAAAAAGGGACACAAUAUUUAGUUGACAUAAAAGAUAGAAAAGGUUUGACCUUAAACGACAAAAGGGACAAAAUAAGAUCGAUCCCGAACUACCACCCUAAAAUAAUUCAGAUAACAGAAAAGAAAACAAAACAAAUUACCAGACCUCUUCCUAGUAAGGAGAGGGGUGACUUCUUAAUUGCUCAGCCGGACAUAUUAGCCACUGAUUUGCAUAUCAGCAUGACUUGAUCUUUCACCACUAUCAGACACAUUUCCUUCAACAAAUAAGUUCUGGAUCCCCAUGCUUAAAUCAUUACCUCCCACAUAUUGUAUAGUACUGCAUGCCGGUGAAGAACUCUGUGGGAUGGUCGAGGGGCCAAUGUUUUGCACCACAAUCAAUUUAUCAUGAAUCAACUUUUCUAUUUUUCUUUUCAAAGUAUGACAAUCUUCAGUACGAUGACCCUGAACUUCAGAAUGAUAUGCACACCAUACAUUAGGAUCAAAAUUUCUUGAAUGUGGGUCAAGUAUAUACCUAAGGAAAGGAGUAAUCAUGCCCCUAUGUCUCAAUCUUUGGAACAAACUUGCAUAGGACUCCCCAAAUAGGAGUGAAAUUAUCCUUUUCCUUCCUCCUCUUUGUGAACUCUGGCCUCAGAUGAAACUUGAAUUUAGGGGUUCCUUGGUAAAUUUGUGGGGGUCAAGGACGAUGUUAAGGGACAGGUGUAUGCCAUUGUGGAUAAGAAGACGGAUGGGUACACAAUUAUGCAUUGUUCAAAGGACAUUGAGAAAGUGGAAUGGAACUCCUUGGAUUUUGAAAAGAGGAACCUUGUUGUAGAUAAAUAAGUGGAUUUGAUAUGUAAGCUCGGUAUUGAGGUUGAUAGUAUUGGUGAGUUGGACCUCUCAAACUCUGCUUUGGCCCAGGCACGACAACAGAUGCAUUUUCCUUCUUCUUUUCUUCAGUUUCCCUUGAAUGAUUGCAAUAUCAUCCCAAAUGUUUCACAGAAUCAUUCUGUCCACCAAGCUCCUCAAAUUUUGAUGUCUCAAAGCUUGGAGGAAGGUUAACACUUGAAAACAUGCCCUAGUUUUUAUAUGAAACAUCUUCAUAGCCCACAAGUCCCAAGGAAUUUUCAUAUCAUUUUAUACACUUUUAACUUUCCCAACCAUUUUCUCUGGGUCUUCAAGCAUGCUAGGCUUCUUAGUAAGAAAUUUUGGCGGUCAACUUAACUUAACUGUAGGCUCAAGAGUAUAAUAAUGAUCAUCACGAGUAUUGAAAGUGGAUUCACGAGUGGACUGGGGAAGCACAAUCAUUGGAUUGAUAACCAAAGUGGAAGAAUUAGUAGAAGGUUGAGCAACAAAAGCACAAACGGUAUGUGGUGAUGUGAAUGUGGUAGACUUAUACUGAGGAGAUAAAGAAAGAGAGGUGGAAGUAUUGAGGUGAAUUUGACGUGGAAUAGAUUCUGAGGCAUGCUGUGUUCCAUCAACCAUAGUAGGAAACUGACUUUACACGUUUGGUGGAAGACUCAAGGUAUUUGCAGGGUCAAAAGUGGGGAAAUGAGGUGGAGCUAGCUCGCUGGCCCAAGCUCGGUAUAUUUCCAUCAUUUGUUGUCUCAGUUUCAAAUUCUCUUCCUUUAAACUCUCAAUUUCCUAACUCUUUGUUUCAUCCAUGGUGCCACUCUCCAUAUCCUUUUUGGGUACAACUAAACCUUCCUUGGAUUUGGUGUGAUAUGGAGGACCAGCCAGGAAGCCACAAACCAACCACCUUAAACUAACUGAACAAGAGGCAACAAAUAUUUUAGAGUUCAACAUUUUUCAAAAUCUCUCUUUUUUUUAUUUUAUUUUUUUGAAAAGAUCACCAAACCCAAGAAGGGCGUCUACGUAUCUCACCCCCUAAGAGAGGAGGAUCAGGUGUGCGUAGUUCGUGAAGUCUUGCCAAAAUAGCCAAUUAAACUCUUUUUCUUUCUAUUUUUCUUGGAACUUUAAGAAGAAAAUAAAAUAACAAAUUAUCAAAAGAAUUGAUGAAAAUCUGUUUUGUAUUUUUCAGAUUUAAAUUCCUUAUACAAAAUGAAACCUAUGACAACCAAAGAAAAAUCUCUUUUUGAAAAUUUCGAUUCUAAAUUUCAUAGGAAAAUGAAACUUGAAACUAUUAAAGAAAUUUUUUUUUGUGAUUUUCUUUUUGAAGAUGUAUAUGACACACCGACUCUAAAUGAAGAGUGAAGCAAAUCUUUUUUGGAUUUUUUUUUCAUAUUCCUAUACAAAAUAAAAUCUAUGAUUACCAAAGAAAAUCUUUUUUGGUUUUCAAUUUCAAAUUUCAUAUGAAAAUGAAAAUUGAAACUAUUAAAGAAAAUUCUUUUUGCAGUUUUCUUUUAAAGAAAUAUAUGACACCUACUCUAAUAAAGAAUGAAGAAAUUUCAUUUUUUUUUAAUUUUCAAAUAAGGUCCCCAACCCAACAAUAAGCUGCCUACGUAUUUCACUCCUGAGAGAGAAGAAUUAAGGGUGAGUAGUUCGUCCAGAUUGGACAAUUAAUGAUUAAAUCACAGAUUGCACCCUGACUUGAGACACGGCCAAAGACAAACGAUAAACAACAUACCAAAAUCUUUUUUUUUUUUGAGUUUUCAAUUUGACACUUCACAUAAAAAAUGGCACCAACAGCUAUGAAAGAAAACCUUUUUGGUGUUUUCGUUUAAUGAAUUUACAAAACUUCUACCAUAUUUUUUUGCAUUUUUUUCUUUAUAAAAAACUCCAAUUUUUAAAAAAUAUUUUUUGAAAUUUUUGAAUUAUGAAUGCAUGGUAAAGGAACAAAAGGAAAAUCUUUUUGAUGUUUUUGAGAAAAAUGAGUGCGAAAGAUAAAAAAAUCUUUUUGAAUUUUUGGAUUGUGGAAAACAAAAGCAAUAAAAAACUCUAAAAACUAUGAAACCUACUUCUUUUUUUUUCGACUCAUUUUUUCUUUCUUUUUCCUCUCUUUUUUUCAAUUUUUCCUUGCCUACACACUCGAUUUUUUUCAACUUUUUCUUGCCUAUACACUUUCUUUAAUUCUAGCACACGUUUUCCCCCAAAUCAAUCUGUCAAAUGACCAUAUUACCCUUAAAGAUGCAACAUUUAGCACGUAGAGAUGCUUUAGAGGUGAAUCUCUUACAAAGGGUCAUGUGGGUCCCGCUAGGUCUCCAUAUGAUGCAAAUAAGCAUAACCUAAAGGAUGACCUACGCUGAGGUUUACUAACAAGGCUGUUCGGGGGAUCGUAUGAUCGAUAGUGGCUGCUUUGCUUUCCACCCACUCCAUACGUCCGAUGGCUCCCCCUCCUAAAAUAAGGGUGACUCAACUAGAGUUUGUGUGCAUGACGUGCACUCCAGGACUUGUUACAGAAAGAAUAACUCGGGUUAUGCACAUGAUGCCAGAUAUAAAGCAGUAACACAUACGAUAAAAACUGUAAACAAAGAGCACGUAGGCACUCAACAAUAAUAAACAAUAACACAAAACAGCACAAACAAAAUAUCUAUACACCUAUAGUGCUAAACUAAGCCGAUACAACUCCGACAAAUAAACUCAAAUUCUGAAAAGUCCCCAGAAGAGUCGCCAGAGCUAUCACAUCCCUUUUUUUCACUCUAAAAAGAUUCAUUUUAAGUCUGAAAGGGUUUUAUUAUUAAGUGACAAAAGAUGAAAAUUUGUUUCAAAAAUGGAUUAUUUACAUUUAAACUCACAGUCGCUACUUGGCAUAAACCAGUGUGCCAAGUCACCUUUGGAAAAUCCUUUUCAAAACGAUUUGACUCUUGAAACUAGUUUGCGAAUAGAGAUUCCAGUUAAGGAAUUUUGUUGACCGAGGGGAAGGUGUUAGGCACCCCUCGUUCCCGUGGUUCGACCACAGUCGCUUGGUAGAGUGAAUCGGGUAAUUUGGCACUAUGAUGUACAAACCACAUAAAAAUAUGUAAAACAAUUAAACAAACAAACAAAACAAAAUAAAUAAAAAAUAUAGUGUCCAGUCCGAGUUAUACAGUCUUGAAAUAAAAAAAUACUGAAAUGUAAAUCAUAUUCUAAACUAAUCCUAGACUAAGAUCCAAUACCUCAUCCGAUGCCUCGGGCCUUCAUCACGAAUGUCCUCCAAGUACAAGAUACUUCGGGGCAUUCCCCAGAUAAAUCAAUACAAAAUUCUCAAGGCAUUCCCUGGCUAAAUGAAUACAGUCGAUCCAAAUGCAGCAAACAAAACCUUUCAACACAUAAUCCAAACAUUCAACAAUCCACAAGUUAUAAAUUUGCCUAUCUGAGCCUACUAUUUCCUUACCCAGCACGACCAAUCAUGGCACUAUUACAAUCAACGACAUAAAUUAAUCAAAACAAAAAUGUUCUUUUUUAUCAACUUUCAAUUCUCGCCCUAUUUUUAUUCUCAAAUUAUCGAUUUUAAUUCUCAAACAAGAUAUCAUUUCAUUGCACAACACAAAAAUAAUGAAUCAACACCAAGUAAUUAUUCACCAUCAACAAGGAUCAAACAACACGUAAAUGUUUAAUGCAUAACAACGAAUAUCAUAAAGAGUGAAAUAAAAAGAGAGGGAGAAGAGAAUCGGACCUUAAUUAUCAAUUUUAAUGUAGUGUUAUUCAAUUAAAUGAGAUAGAGUCCGGUCGGGAACCUCGAAUUGAACUUCAACCGCAACCCACCAACUCGAAUCCAAAUGGAAUGAAACUCCACCAACGAUAGUGAAUACCCGGGAUCAACAGCUAGACAGAUUUCAAACCCAAAAAUAAAGACCUCGAUAUGACAACCAAGAUCCAAACCCAAAACUACGACUGAUGAAACUCAAAAUCUAGUUUCGAUUUUGAAUUACCAAAAUAGAUGAACCCAAGCUGCAAAAAUAUGAUAGAAAACUAAGCACCCACACGGCUUGAACUCCGGUGAGCUAACAGUGCCUAAAACAGACAGAAGUAGCUCGAAUUUCGGAGAGUUUGAAUAUUUUCUAAACGGGGUCACUCGAAAACUUUUGAAAACAGACUGUUCUGGCGAUAUUCUCAUUUCCCUAUCAGACUCAUCCAAAAAUCAAUAGAGAACGAUGAGAUUUCAGCAAAAUAGUCACCGGAACAACGACCAAACCCAUUGAAACCCAUUUCCGAGUAACCCAAAAUCAACACUAUUUUUUUUUCCAUUUCAGAUCUUGACUUCAAAUCUCUCUCUCUCGUAGGAGAAUCUCUCAGUGUGUAUCCCCUGCUGUGCGUGCAUUCAACAGGUGUUUAUAGUAGCUCUAUGUUAUCUCCUAGGUGGAGAAGAAAAUGAAGGCUGGGGUCUCUCUGUAUUUCUGUUUGUGUAUGUGAGGAUGAUGAUGGUCUCCUUACAUUAAUGGUGGUGUGUUCAUAAGAAAAAAGAGAUGGACCGUGUUCCAUGCUUUUUUCAUCAAUGGAGAAUAUCGAUUAGUGAUGUAGUGGGUACUUUGUGUAGCGUGUGAGUACGAAAAUGAGGGUGGGUCUGUGAAUUGUCAGUCCCCUUAUGAGUGAGAAUUGUUUUCUUUUUUAAUUAUUCUAUGGGCCCUUGAAAGUG